UGUGUGUAAAUGUACAUCAUGCUUGUGUGUGUAUGUAUGUGUAAACACACACACACAGUGAGGGGCGGAGACCGGAGGCGGGGAUCUCCAUCGUGGGCGGGCCGGUCUGACUAACACAGAGCAUCCGCACGGGGAACACAAGACACGCCCUGCCUCAUGUAUCACGCCGGUGAACUUGGCGGGAGCAAAGAGAGGUGACAACGCUCGUCAUUUACCCCUCUCUUGUUACUCUCUCUCUCUCUCCGAGAAACAUUUUGGCAAGCCUUACUAAAGAGGAAACGGGAAAGGAAAUUUCGAGAGAGGAGCACGUGACGCAAGAAUAUCUUAUCCUGAGGCUCGGACAAACGUUUCAGUAUUCGAGGCUCAGCGUUACGUAAGAAGCGAUAUGGGAAUUCUUUAACGUGGUAGAAAGUGGAGUCGGAUGUUUGCGUGUGUAGCGGCCUCUGACAUUACAUUAUCUGGCAGGUGUAGAGGAUCCGUUGAGCUUCUUAUCUACACAGACAUGUCGGUUGUAGAUUCUUGCUCAUUGCGGAGGCGUAGCGUGGGCGAGGUCAGCUGGUUACGGGCGGAGUGAUGAAGGUGCGCGCGGGUCACGAUCCAAAAGCAGACUGGCUUCCUGGGUCUUCCUCGUUCGCUUCUGGCCUGGCCUCCUCCAUGGCGUGGCGUGGGGACGCGGGAGGAGUUUACAGCCCCUAAGUCAGAGCCGCCGGCCUUGUACCACGCUCGAGUCGCCCUCAGAUGCCAAGUCUUUGGAUACAAUUUCACAAUUACACGAGGCUGCAAUAUAUUCCAAACAUUAUGCAACCUGAAAUAUUUCAAAUAAUAAGCAAGCAACAACAAAUAAUAAAUAAAUCAGUCACAUGCAGUACAAAUAAAUCAAACUCGCAUACGUAUCAUAUAUCAACAAAAUUACGAAAAAUAGAAUUUAAACAAAAUCACACAUUUACACAAUGUAACAUUUCCAUAAUAUAAUACUUUUCAUUCAAAUGAGGUACAAUGAUCAUGAAUCUACUCAGUGAGAAAAUGACAUUAAAAAUUCAUAAAACUCACACCAUCACGCAUCCCACUCUUCCUUGGAGGUGUAGAGGAUCCUGAUAACCCGUUUUCCAUUUGAUUGAGAAUUAAUGGUUCUUCAAGGGAAAGUACUCAUCUGGCGGAUUGGUCAACCUCGUCACAGGUUGAUAGUCCAUCAUGAGAAGGUAUUCAGUAUACAUAAGCACCCCGUUCUGAUAGUCUAAACAAAAUGGUGAAGUCCAUUUCUAGUUACGUUUUCUGGAUUAGCCAUUUGAGGACCAAGCUGUUCUGUAUAUCAGCUACGGUUUUUCAGGACCUGGUGUUUGUGUAUAACUGGACAAGAAGAAUAAAUGAACCGUCAAAAUGAUUCACGUGAUGACACCUUAAUAACAUGCAAAAAAAAAAAAAAAAAAAAAA